rnacentral:tRNA from 1 species
GGCCCGGUGGCCGAGUGGUAAGGCACUGGACUGCAAAUCCAUGGUUUCCGAAAGGGACGCAGGUUCAAAUCCUGUCUGGGCCUCCA